AGACGGGGGGCGCAAGCGUUGUUCGGAAUUACUGGGCGUAAAGGGCGGGCAGGCGGUCUGCUCAGUCUUCUGUGAAAAUCCGGGGCUCAACCCCGCGAAAUGCAGAAGAUAAUGGCAGACUGGAGACCGGUAGAGGCUAGCGGAAUUCCUGGUGUAGCGGUGGAAUGCGUAGAUAUCAGGAAGAACACCUGUGGCGAAGGCGGCUAGCUGGGCCGGAUCUGACGCUGAUCCGCGAAAGCGUGGGGAGCAAACAGGAUUAGAUACCCCAGUAGUCC
rnacentral:rRNA from 1 species